ACUCCUACGGGAGGCAGCAGUGGGGAAUAUUGCACAAUGGGCGCAAGCCUGAUGCAGCCAUGCCGCGUGUGUGAAGAAGGCCUUCGGGUUGUAAAGCACUUUCAGUUGUGAGGAAGGUGGUGGUCGUUAAAUAGCGGCAUCAUUUGACGUAUGCAACAGAAGAAGACACCGGCUAACGUCCUGCCAGCAGCCGCGGUAAUACGGAGGGUGCGAUCGUUAAUCGGAAUUACUGGGCGUAAAGCGCAUGCAGGUGGUUUGUUAAGUCAGAUGUGAAAGCCC
rnacentral:rRNA from 1 species